GGCGGCAUGGCCAAGUGGUAAGGCAGGGGACUGCAAAUCCUUUACCCCUAGUUCAAAUCUAGGUGCCGCCC
rfam:Sorghum bicolor cultivar BTx623 chromosome 1, whole genome shotgun sequence.